UGGGGAAUAUUGCACAAUGGAGGGAACUCUGAUGCAGCGACGCCGCGUGAGUGAUGAAGGAAUUCGUUUCGUAAAACUCUGUUCGAUGGGAAGAAAAGGACUGUACCAUAGGAGAAAGCUCCGGCUAAAUACGUGCCAGCAGCCGCGGUAAUACGUAUGGAGCGAGCGUUGUCCGGAAUUAUUGGGCGUAAAGGGUGCGCAGGCGGCUUUACAAGUUGGAUGUGAAAUAUUGUGGCUCAACCACAAACGUGCAUCCAAAACUGCAAAGCUUGAGUUAAGGAGAGGUAAGUGGAAUUCCUGGUGUAGCGGUGGAAUGCGUAGAUAUCAGGAGGAAUACCGGUGGCGAAGGCGACUUACUGGACUUAAACUGACGCUCAGGCACGAAAGCGUGGGGAGCAAACAGG
rnacentral:rRNA from 1 species